rnacentral:lncRNA from 1 species
UACAUCCUUAAUUAUAGUAAUACAUCACAUAGUCAUGUGUACAAAUAAGUCUGCUGGGGAAUUAUUUAUUUUUUUAAAUGGGGGGAUGGGUGGAGAAGUAAAGAAUGAAAGCUGACAUUUCAGUAAACCCCGGACCUGUCUGUGCCGCCGCCCAACAUGCACGGGCCUGUACCUGUCGGGUGAGUCAAGUGAGGAGAAGGGAAGCCUGAGAAACUCGGGGUCUGAGUGUGUAUUGUUGAGCACACACUCCCACAACAACUUGCUCUCGCCAAAAACGUACUCCAGUCUUUUUUUUCUUUCCCUUCUCGACAACGGGACACAUAUGUUUGCGAUCAGGAGCGAGCUCUCUUCCAGGCGACAACACCGUCUGGUCUGAUACCUCGCGUGCGGUUAAGAGCCGAUAUCGGCUAAGAUGUGAGUGGUCAAUAAUUUCAUUAAAUCCUCCGCAUUUGAACAUUGGAUGAAAUGAGAUAGCCAUAUUAUGUGUCCGUCAAUUCAAAAUGACAUUCAACUAAAACUUUGAGAAUAACCAUUCAUUAUUAAUCAGUCUUAUAGUCGAUGAGUGGAUAAGAAAAUUCGAAUUUUGAAAUGAAAUGUCAUUUUUAAAUUCCUCACUAACAGAUUGAGAUUCACCUCAUGUCCUCUAAUCAUGUACUGCACUCAUCACCUGUUUGAGAAGGUGUAAACGUCAUAAUUACCAUUUAUACACUGAUGAACGCAAAAUAAAAAAUAAACAAAUCUAUAAAUCAAAUAAGUAAAUCUACAAGUAAAUAAAUAAAUGUAGAAAUACAGAAAUGGCCAUUUUCAUUGCAAACUGCAUUUAUGUAUUUAUUUAAGUAUACGUACGUCAUUCCUGUCCUUCAUACCUCAUAACCUUUUUUCUGCU